GACGAACGCUGGCGGCGUGCCUAAUACAUGCAAGUCGAACGCAGUGGGGACGGGUGAGUAACCCGUGGGUAACCUCCCAUCAGAGGGGAUAACACUUGGAAACAGGUGCUAAACCGAUACUGAUGGAUGGACCCGCGGUGCAUUAGCUAGUUGGGGAGGUAACGGCUCACCAAGGCCAAGAUGCAUAGGCGGCCGGAGGGGGGGAUCGGCCACACUGGGACUGAGGAACGGCCCAGAAUCCUACGGGAGGGAGCAGUAGGGGAGCUUCGGCAAGGGGCGAAAGUCUGGCCGCGCAACGCAGCGUGAGUGAAGAAGGUUUUCGGAUCGUAAAACUCUGGUGUUAGAGAAGCGGUAUCUAAACAGAAAGCCACGGCUAACUACGUGCCAGCAGCCGCGGUAAUUC
rnacentral:rRNA from 1 species